AAACUAUAAAAGACGAUCUCAGUUCGGACUGCAGGCUGCAACUCGCCUGCACGAAGUUGGAAUUGCUAGUAAUCGCGGAUCAGCACGCCGCGGUGAAUACGUUCCCGGGCCUUGUACACACCGCCCGUCACACCAUGGAAGUCUGCAAUGCCCGAAGCCGGUGGCCUAACCACUUAUGUGGAAGGAGCCGUCUAAGGCAGGGCAGAUGACUGGGGUGAAGUCGUAACAAGGUAAC
rnacentral:rRNA from 1 species